GGAAGGAGGAAGAAGAGGAGGAGGAGGGUGUGUUAUUGAAUGGUGGCUAAAGCCUCCUCGGGACGGCGCUGAGGUGAAACACGCUGAACCCGAGUGAUGUAGCUCCGCUCCCGGUCGGACCCAGUGCCCUCAGCAGCCGACGGGAGACCCCGGCCGCCGGCUCCAGGUACCUUUUUAAUGCUGAAAUGGGCAUACUAAUUGUGAACUGUGUGGUAAGAAGCUCCUUCUAAAAUAUUCACUAACUUAUUUACUGGAAUUUAACAGGCUCUGCUCUUCAAAGCUUUCCUUGCCUUUAAUCACGUGAACAAACCUUUCAAGUCAUGUUGUCAGCUCGAGAUCUGGCAGAGGAACAGCAGUGUGGAAGCAGCCCCUGCCAUUAGCCAAGGUACAGAAAGGAGCUGGUGACCUGCGACAGGACGAAAGACCUCACUUACCAAGAUUUGCUCACGGUUAUGCUUCUGGCAACUGACAUUUCAAUUUUACUCAAAGCUUCUAUAUCUGUGUCAUCAGAUGAAGCCCCAUGAGUGGUGGCAGAGCCUUCUGAAACUGUGGCCUUCAUUUUCAAGUUUGAAGAGAAAAAACUAUUUACAUGCCUAAAUUCCAGAACUUGCUGUUCAGAGGUCACUGAUUUACCCACUGCUUUAAGCCAUUAAGGUUUCCAAAAGCUCUAUAAAGAAAUGGGACACAGUUUGGGGCAGAAAACUGUUACUGUUUUUCAUUUUGUUUAGUUUCAUUUUUGUUGUAUCAUUUGAUUUUUGUCCUACUAGAGGAACAUGAAGAUGGAAUGUUUCUGUCAUUGCUUACAAUGAAUGACUGUUUAAAGGGACUGUCAGAGUUUUCACACUCCUUAAGAUUGUUAUAAACUGAAGGAGAAUGUCUUUUAAUUUGUUAGGAUUUCAGACUUUCUUUUGUGAGGAAAAUUAUUGAUUAAUGCAAUGACUGCUCCUUUGUUGUUUAUCACUCUUCCAACUCAGUAUUUUUAUGUUCUUUGGGUUAUGAAUUUCGGCAAAUGUCUACUUAUGUGUUUUAAUAUUGCACUGUUGUUUGGUUUUUUUGUUUGAGUGUUUUUUUCAUUUAGACCAUUUAGAACAUUUCUCAUGUUCUCCUGAAUUAGACCCUUGAAUUUAAUGACAAUUCAUACAAUUCCCAGAAACACAUUGUUACCAGUAAGUGUUGUGUACCAACAUGGAUGAAUCUAGAAGUUAGAGAGGGAGCACAAGUAAUGACUUUUUUUUUUCCAUUCACAGAGGAAACACUAAGAAGUCAGCAUUAUUUAACAGAAAUGAACAAAUGGAAAGGUAUUUAUUUGCCAAACUGCAAGAGGAUGUCAGAAACGGUAAGGAUAAUAUAAAACCAAAAAUCUAAAGAAAUUGCUUAAUUUUCUUAAAAAAUAAUUGGAACUGAAAAAGACCUCUCAAACUAUCUCAUAAUGAAGAAAAUCUUCAGGCAGGAAAAAAAAAAGAGUUUUCUAACACAGUGUUUAAGGUAAAUUGAAGGAUCAUUCCAGGGGCUAUUCUUUGCUGCUUUUGUGAGAAGUGUGUGAGGCAGUUAAUCUAUCUUAGUUCCCCUACUGUAAAUAGAAGAUGAUAAUGCCCACUUCUGUCUACUGUUAUGCUGUCUUUAGAUGCUUCACAGUGCAAAAGAAAAGUCUUUCAUAGUGUACUUAAAAACUGCCUGUUGGACCUUAAGCUUUAGAGAGAAAAGACAGUUUGGGCUACACAUCCUGAAAGUGCUGGUUCUUUAAGGCAGUAGUGGCAACUUUAAGGUUUAGUGGAGUGUUUUAAUAAAAAAACCUCCUCUAGGAGAUCUCAUGAGCAUCAGAAUUCUGUCAUCCUCAAAAAAACAUACUUAGCAUUAAUUAAUAUGGCCCAAGUGUUCUUUUUCAGCUACUAAACUGUCAGAGGCUUCUUUGUCUGGCUAACAUCUUAAGGCUCUUUUUUUAAAGAUAUCGCUGGAAGACCCCUUAGCUUGAGACCAAUUCAGAUUUGGACAUAUGGUGGUAUGAAAAGUAAUAUGCAAAUGCCAUGGUUUUUUGCAUUACAUAAGCAGGCUGAUUUAAUUAGUAUUUCUUGAAAGAACAAGACAAAAAAAGCCUUUAAUUGUUAUGAAUCUCCUGUAGAGAAUUUUGGUGACAGAACUGUUGCCAUAUGGCUGUACAUAUUUUGUGCUACAUGAAAGGAAAUUAGCAGAAAAUUAGUGGAACUUGUAGAAAACCCAUAUAAAAAGUAAAAUACAACAAGCAAACUGUCUCUCCAUGGAUUAUACUGGCAGUACUGAUGAUGUCGUUUCUGACAAUAUGGGUGGAGUAUUCUCAGGGUGGUGUGUAUCCUGCCCCCUGCUCUUCUCAGGACUGAGCUGUUGGAUUUGCCAGCAGCCCUGAUUGCUUAACCCAUCUGUCUUAGCAACAUGAGAUUGAAGGACUGUCCUAGACAUGUGGCAUUGCCAGAAAGGCAAAUGGCUGGUUGUUGCUGCAGAGCUAUGCCAGGGGACUGGGAGCACCUGAGAUUUCUUCUUCUGCAUAUCCUAAACUGCGACCUAGGCUUGAGCCUGAGUGUAGCUUUAAGCUUUCACAACUGGGCUUGAAAUGAGUUAUGACCUGAAACACAGGUACAAGUAUAUAAGGUUAGAGACAUUAAAAAAGUGUUCAUUACUGUUUGAAACUUUCAGCAUUUAGGGUAGGAAAGACAAUUAAGCAAUCAAAUACAGAAUUGUAUUUGAGCAUCAAAUACAAAGUGGUUUAUCAAAAUAUCAAAAUUAGAAAUGCAACAUUUUGCUUUUUAGAUUAUCAAUGAAGUGGCAAACGUACCUCUUACUGGCUGCUUUGCCAGCGGUAGGUACCAGCUCACAGCUGAAGUGCAGGUGUGUGAAAUGCCUGUCACAUCACUGACACAUGUUCACCAGAUGCCACCAAAGGUAUCGAGCCCUACUAAGAAAUAAGAAACCAUAAUUACUAUAUGGUACAAGGGGAUGUGUUAAAAUUGUUGGUGAAUUAAAGAUUAAAGUAAAGAUUAACCCUUGAGAACAACCUUUCAUUUGUUAUCUGUCUUUAAUUAAAUCCAGAGUGCUUUAAAUAUAUAGGGACAUCUUUUGGGUUUAUGUUUUAAUUGCAAAAAUAGCUAAUUUGUGUAUAGUUUAUUCAUGUUGCUAUUUCAAGUUACUUUAAUUGCAGUACAUAUGUAAGUUCAGGAAACAGAAUUUCAUUCCAUCUGGUGAUUACUUGUUUACUUACAUUAAUCAUAGAGUCAGAAAACUUAUAAAUAAAAAAAUAACUACUGAAAAA
rnacentral:lncRNA from 1 species